rnacentral:rRNA from 1 species
GACGAACGCUGGCGGCGUGCUUAACACAUGCAAGUCGAACGAUGAUGCCCAGCUUGCUGGGUGGAUUAGUGGCGAACGGGUGAGUAACACGUGAGUAACCUGCCCCUGACUCUGGGAUAAGCGUUGGAAACGACGUCUAAUACUGGAUAUGAYYACCGGCCGCAUGGUCUGGUGGUGGAAAGAUUUUUUGGUUGGGGAUGGACUCGCGGCCUAUCAGCUUGUUGGUGAGGUAAUGGCUCACCAAGGCGACGACGGGUAGCCGGCCUGAGAGGGUGACCGGCCACACUGGGACUGAGACACGGCCCAGACUCCUACGGGAGGCAGCAGUGGGGAAUAUUGCACAAUGGGCGAAAGCCUGAUGCAGCAACGCCGCGUGAGGGAUGACGGCCUUCGGGUUGUAAACCUCUUUUAGUAGGGAAGAAGCGAAAGUGACGGUACCUGCAGAAAAAGCACCGGCUAACUACGUGCCAGCAGCCGCGGUAAUACGUAGGGUGCAAGCGUUGUCCGGAAUUAUUGGGCGUAAAGAGCUCGUAGGCGGUUUGUCGCGUCUGCUGUGAAAUCCCGAGGCUCAACCUCGGGCUUGCAGUGGGUACGGGCAGACUAGAGUGCGGUAGGGGAGAUUGGAAUUCCUGGUGUAGCGGUGGAAUGCGCAGAUAUCAGGAGGAACACCGAUGGCGAAGGCAGAUCUCUGGGCCGUAACUGACGCUGAGGAGCGAAAGCGUGGGGAGCGAACAGGAUUAGAUACCCUGGUAGUCCACGCCGUAAACGUUGGGCGCUAGAUGUAGGGACCUUUCCACGGUUUCUGUGUCGUAGCUAACGCAUUAAGCGCCCCGCCUGGGGAGUACGGCCGCAAGGCUAAAACUCAAAGGAAUUGACGGGGGCCCGCACAAGCGGCGGAGCAUGCGGAUUAAUUCGAUGCAACGCGAAGAACCUUACCAAGGCUUGACAUACACCGGAAACGGCCAGAGAUGGUCGCCCCCUUGUGGUCGGUGUACAGGUGGUGCAUGGUUGUCGUCAGCUCGUGUCGUGAGAUGUUGGGUUAAGUCCCGCAACGAGCGCAACCCUCGUUCUAUGUUGCCAGCGCGUUAUGGCGGGGACUCAUAGGAGACUGCCGGGGUCAACUCGGAGGAAGGUGGGGAUGACGUCAAAUCAUCAUGCCCCUUAUGUCUUGGGCUUCACGCAUGCUACAAUGGCCGGUACAAAGGGCUGCGAUACCGUAAGGUGGAGCGAAUCCCAAAAAGCCGGUCUCAGUUCGGAUUGAGGUCUGCAACUCGACCUCAUGAAGUCGGAGUCGCUAGUAAUCGCAGAUCAGCAACGCUGCGGUGAAUACGUUCCCGGGCCUUGUACACACCGCCCGUCAAGUCAUGAAAGUCGGUAACACCCGAAGCCGGUGGCCUAACCCUUGUGGAAGGAGCCGUCGAAGGUGGGAUCGGUGAUUAGG